AAUUAGGCUGGAAUACUAUUAAUAGUAAAACGCUCUUUUUGCUAUUAAGUUUUUAACCCUUGGAUGAAAAAUUGUAGGGUCGGGAUGAUAUUACUCGGUUAGAGUUGAGUGCUCCCCCUAGGGUUGAGUGGUCCCCACUGGGUUAUAGUAUUUAAUCCAAUAUUUAGAAAUAAUGAAAAGAGUUUAUCUAAAGGCUAAAAAACUGGUAGCAACAAUGGGAUUUGGCUACUAAUAGUAGCCCAGUCCAACUCUAUAUAUAUAUACAUAUGUAUAUAUAUAUAUAUAUAUAUAUAUAGAGAGAGAGAGAGAGAGAGAGAGAGAGAGUUGAGCUAGAAUACUCUCAAAAGUACCAAGGGGGUGGUGCUUUUAAGUUUUUAACCAUUGGAUGGAGAGAUGUAGAGUUGACAUGUUGGUAGUAGGUGGUGGUAGGUGGUGGUAGGUGGAAUAAUGUUUGAUCCAAGGGGUAUUAGUAAUUAAGGAGUAGAUCCAAGGGCUAGAAACUUAGAAGCACCAAGGAGUUGGUGCUUCUAAAAGUAUUCUAGCUCAAUUCUAUAUAUAUAUAUAUAUAUAUAUAUAUAUAUAUAUAUAUAUAUAAAAUUGAACUUCUGUGUUUUUAAGAGCACGAAGUUGUUGGUGCUUCUGAGUUUUCGGUCUUUGGAUGAAAAUUUGUAGAGUUAGGAUAAUAGUGGUCCUCUAGAAUUUGGUAGAUGGUUGAUAAAAUAGUAUGAUCUAAGAGGUAGAAUUGAUCAAAGGAGUAGAUCUAGCGGUGAAAAACUUGCAAGUACCAAGUGUUUAGUACUUUUAAUAGCAUCAUAACCAGGCUCUCUCUCUAUAGAGAGAGAGAGAGAGAGAGAGUAGAGCUCCUAUGAUUUUAAAACUAUUGAAGCUUAUUGUACUUAUGAUUUUUUAGCUAUUAGAUCGCCUCAAGAUCCAUGCAGUACUAAUAAAAAAGACUUAAUGGGACACAAUAUUAAUAGUGUUGCAUGGAUCUUGAGGCCAUCCAAUAAUUAAAAAAUCACAAGCAUUAAUGCUCUUGUGUUUUAAAAGCAUAGGAGCUCAACACUCUCUCUCAUAUAUAUAUAUAAUAGAGCUAUUAUGCUUCCGAAAGUAUAAAGGAGUUGGUGCAUUCAACUUUUUGGCCCUUGGAUUAAGGCUUAGUUUGGUAUUGACGUCCAUCUGACGCUAUUAGAUAAAAUGGAGUUGAGGUUAAAGUAUAUAGGGAUAUGCUUCUGUGUUCUCCGGUGGGACAACAGAAAAUAUCUCGUAACUGACUCAUCGCGAUAUACGAAACCAAAUAUUACAUACAAAAAUAAAUAGAGUAUUUUCGCAUCCUACUUUCUCACCGUAUGUAACGCAAUCUUCUCGCAAUCUCAAACGAAGCCUAAGAAUUG
rnacentral:lncRNA from 1 species